rnacentral:rRNA from 1 species
AUACGUAGGUGGCAAGCGUUGUCCGGAAUUACUGGGUGUAAAGGGUGCGUAGGCGGGGAUGCAAGUCAGAUGUGAAAUCUAUCGGCUCAACUGGUAAACUGCAUUUGAAACUGCAUUUCUUGAGUGGUGGAGAGGUAAGCGGAAUUCCUAGUGUAGCGGUGAAAUGCGUAGAUAUUAGGAGGAACACCAGUGGCGAAGGCGGCUUACUGGACACUAACUGACGCUGAGGCACGAAAGCAUGGGGAGCAAACAGGAUUAGAUACCCUGGUAGUCCAUGCCGUAAACGAUGAUUACUAGGUGUAGGGGGUAUCGACCCCUUCUGUGCCGGAGUUAACACAAUAAGUAAUCCACCUGGGGAGUACGGCCGCAAGGUUGAAACUCAAAUGAAUUGACGGGG